AUGACUCAUGACUGUCUAACUACUGCUUCUGAGUGUUUACACUCUUGACAACAAUAAAUCAGGACAGCUGUGUUUUUUAGUUUAGCACAGAGCCUCUGUGGGCCACAUUAAUCCCUCACUUAUUUUAUGUCAACUCCUAUGAAUCUCAGCUCUGUCCGUCCCCCUUUUUUAUCAAAGGUUUUCCCACGGUGAAGUGGUGUGCGUGUCAGAGCUCAGAGAGUUCCUUGAGUUUGACCUCAGUAACCUCGAAGAAGGCUCGUCCUGCUUGGCUCGACAUGAGGACGGCAUCUGGUACCCGGCCAAAAUUAAAGAAAUUGACAGUGGUUUCUACACCGUGAAGUUUGACUCACUGCUGCUAAAAGAUGUCGUGGUCGAGGCCGACUGCAUCAUCCCGCCUUUGAGAGAAGACGACCCGCUCUCCUCCGACUCUGACCUGGACGACACAGGAGAAGAUGCGGCUUAUGCGAAAGUUCUGGACUCUGCUGCAGAUUCCACAGAAACAUUGAACAGUGCGAAUUUCGGCGGCUGGGAGGCACAUACGAGAGGCAUCGGAUCCAAGCUUAUGCUCAAAAUGGGCUAUGAAUAUGG